rnacentral:rRNA from 1 species
CCUACGGGUAGCAGCAGUGAGGAAUAUUGGUCAAUGGUCGCGAGCCUGAACCAGCCAAGUAGCGUGCAGGAUGACUGCCCUAUGGGUUGUAAACUUCUUUUAUACAGGAAUAAAAUGAGUCACGUGUGCUUUUUUGUAUGUACUUCAUGAAUAAGGAUCGGCUAAUUCCGUGCCAGCAGCCGCGGUAAUACGGAGGAUCCGAGCGUUAUCCGGAUUUAUUGGGUUUAAAGGGAGCGUAGAUGGGUUGUUAAGUCAGUUGUGAAAGUUUGCGGCUCAACCGUAGAAUUGCGACGGAUACUGGCAGGUUUGAGUACAGGGAAGGUAGGCGGAAGUCGUGGUGUAGCGGUGAAAUGCUUAGAUAUCACGAAGAACUCCGAUUGCGAAGGCAGCAUACGAAACUGCCACUGACAUUGAUGCUCGAAGGUGUGGGUAUCGAACAGGAUUAGAUACCCGAGUAGUC